CGACUCACUCUAGCUACAGUGGUGUCUAGCUAGCCGUGUCUUGUUGAGUGCUGUCGUGAGUUUGAUCUCGGUUUGUUUUAUUUGUGGUCACAGUGAAAGAAGACAAACAAAUGAAUUCCUGCCUGUUGCCUGUUCCAGCGCCCCAGCAGCCUGUGUGGAGACGAGGUCAGUCGUGGCGCCCCUUGACGAAGUGAACGAACCCGUGGCAAUGACGGACCAGUUACCUUGAAGAGCUCAUUGUGGGGUCAUAGGCAGCGUGUACCAGGGAAAACACCGCGUCUGUAUGGCUGUGGUGAUGCAGUGAAGUGCCUCCGUCAGGGAGCCUCGUGCAAACAGUCAGUGUGGGAGGAAGGAGACAAGGCGAGGCAGCGAGGGCAAGGGAUCAGCUGCACGAGGCUCCAGCAUUGGUCGCGACGUGGUACCUGCGAGUGUCCGCGGCGUGGUGUGGCUCGUGGACAUGUGUGUGCGUGUGUGGGAAUGAAGAGGAGGAGGAGGAGGAGGAGGAGGAGGAGGAAGAGGAGGAGGACGAGAAGGAAGAAGAGGAUAGAAAGGGUAACGACGUGGUGGACAGGCGGGCGUCUGGAGACUGACGUCCUGGGCGUGGCUGGCAGGAUGGGACGGGUUGUGGUGCAGGUGUUGACCUCUGACCUCUGACCUCAGCCUCUUCAGUGAUAUCACAUAAGCUUUGAUUUUGGUAUUUUGUCUUUAAGAAUUUUCAUUUGUUUACAUAUGUAUCUAUAAUAUCUAUCUAUAUGUACAGUUACCCUAAAAAUGAAUGUCAACUUGUAGAAAAACAUUUUGAAUAUUUUUGUGGAAUAUGACAUUACUUUUUGAGGCAACUUUACAUUACACAGACACUCUUUAUUAGAGCUUCUCAAAGUGUAUUCACUUUCCUAAACCCUGUAAUACUGUUUCCUGAGGAGUGGUGUCACAAAAAUGAGUGAACCAUUUCAAUAUUUUACAUAACUUUUUGAGACAAUUGUACAUCUAUCCAAAUAAUUCAGUCUUUAUAUACGUUUCUCCAUAUAUAUUUACCUUUAUAUUCACCUAUCCAUUUAUAUACCUUAACUACUUGUUUAUUAUGUGUGCAUGUUUCUUUGUUUAUAUAUACGCUUGUCAUUGGUUCCCAAACAUCUGGAUCGAGUCUCACCUCACGCUUUCAAUGACUGACGGCACAUUCCUUUGUGUUAUUUUAUUUUACUUCCCAUCACAUCAUAAUGAGAGUUGAUUGUUUUCCUAAUCUAUUGUAGGAAAUUCUCGCCUGAAUACCUGAGCGUCGAAGAUGUGUUUCCGCUAUCUACAUGUGAUAAGUGAUAUCAGACUGCCAACACCGCCAUCUACCAGCUAGUCACGCCACUAAACAGCCAUCUGGCGGUGGGCUUCUAAACUGGAGGCCUGAAACUUCCAUCUGGGGUCUGAACAUUACACGGAAAGUUUGUAUUUUUUUUAUAUUUUGCUCUUACCGAUGGAGAUAUCACACUAAGGAGAGUCAGCUUCAUUUGCUGUAAUGUUAGAUGUAUAAUUGUUGUGGUCAGCCUUUACUAUGUUACGACAGCGUGUACUGGGGAAUAGUUCAGGUUGUCAUGCGAAUCUGAGCUCAUGAUGGAUAACUGGCAGAGUAGCUCGUGUUAUGAUGACCAGUCCCUCUGACGCGCAGCAUGUACGUGACGCAAACACUUUAAAAAGCAGCUCUGAUCAUGUCCUUCCUCCGUGACUUGCCAUAACAAACAGCUAUGACAACGUACUCGUGAAAGCCCUGUACAGUAUCCUUGAGAGAUCCAUGUUCCCUACUUAGAAACCCUUGACUAUUAUCUUUAUUUCUACCUACCUGCCUAUCUAUCUAUCUAUCUGUCUAUCUAUCUAUCUAUCUAUUUAUUUAUCUAUCUCUCUAUCUAUCUAUUUCACAUAUGAACACAGUAAGGCUUCAAGGCAAACGUUAUCAGCUCGCGCCUUCUCGAUGACAAAUGUUCCUUGGUAUUUAGGGUCUUCAGCAGUGUUCUGAGGCUCAUCGUGUCGCUUACCGUCUCCCCGAGCAGCUCACCUAAUGCCUUUUGUUCUGUCUGUGUUAUUGCUGUAAGAAGGCGGUUCAUAUCGAGGAUACUGUUACCGUACCGGAGUGUUGGGGCUGGAGGGCCACCUGACCCCUCCUUCAGGUAAGUUGAGGGAGAUAGUAGUUGUAGAAUGAAAUGCAUCGUUUUGUACUGAAAUUAUACGUCUAAGCUUCGGUUUGUUUACUACCCGCUUUCUCUCUCUCUCUCUCUCUCUCUCUCUCUCUCUCUCUCUCUCUCUCUCUCUCUCUCUCUGAUACACACACACACACACACACACACACACACACACACACUCGUACCUCCCUUCCUGCCGCAGCUCUCGCCCGGCUGAGUCUUGUCCUACAGUCAUGUCCCUGCCGCCCGUCUUGGCCUCCUCUCCGCCCUUUGGUUUUGCUUUCCAUUCUAAUUACGAGUGUAGUCCAUCAUCUGUCUUUUAUUAUUCCCUCAGUCUUACUAAAACUUUAUGGUGCCGUAGUCCUCUUCAUCGUUUUCUUCAUGGUUCUCUGUCCAAUCGUGGCGGCGCGCUGUAAUUUGCCGUGCCCUGGUCUCUUAUCGCGGUCUAACCUUUCUCUUUCUCUCAGCCACACGUCCUCUCCUCCUCUGCACUAGCCUACAACUCGUCCCCUACUCUCCGGUCAUCUCUGAAACACUGCUACACCUUCCUGCCACAAGUCACGUUCCGUACCGUUAGUUUUGAUGGCUGGAACUGGGGCGGGAGGACGCGGCAUGACAAACAGCGUCGUGAGGUCGAGGGGAGCGGAGGGAGGCGUCUCGGUGCUGCCUAAGAGAAGUGACCACCGCUACCGCCAAGAAAAAUCGGCGUUUAUAUGAAUUCGACCAAAACUAAUCUCUUCCCAAGCCGCAGUGUGAUGCUGGUGUGUGGAGGGCAAGGUGCGCCCCUCAAGGCGUGGUAAUGUGCUCUCAGGAAGUGACUGGGAGUUACAGUGACUUUUCAUCUAUGUAAAAAUGUCUUGGGGAACCGAGUUGGUGGUAGACGGACUUGUCUUGUCCCCCCAACGCCAGAGACCCAAGUGUUGUCACCACAAAAUCGAUGGGUCAGUGGUGAGCCCUAGCCGCAACCCUCGCCCCUCGCUCUCCCCCUCGGCUAUAAUUGCCCUCCCCUGUUUAUCCAUCGUUGGUUUCGUUGAGUUUAUCCAACGCUGUCUUUAAUAAAUUCAGUAAUUGCUACGUUAUUUUUUCAACCCUCUAACAAGUUCUGGCUGGGUCGGGCUGAACCGGGUGCUGUGAUAUUCUGAAACCUUUUAGGAGUUACUGAAGCUUAUUUUUCACACAGGCAACGCAGUAGCGACGCUUCAGAGAGUGUCCUGAGGGCUGUGAAAAGUGGCUGGCUCCUCGUCCACACGGCGUGACGCUCUGACGUUCCCUGAUAAUAUAUUUUGUGCAGAGUAACUUGUAUGGAUGCACCAACGGGUUCACCUCCAUAAAUACGAGUGUUGGUUGAUUACAUGGCUCACUUUUUGCGGUAACAUAUAUUUCGAGGACUUUUUUUUUUCCAUUUUUUUUUUUUUCAUAACUUGCCUAGUGGCCUUUGUCGCGGUGCCUCGUCGGCCUCGGCAGCCCUCCACGGCCGACACCUCCUGUCGCCGGAUAAAUUUACUCCCUGAGGCAAACCAUUUAUCCGUAUCAUUUCCAUUCGCUAUUUUUGGGGGCACGUUAAUUCUUUUGUUUGUGUGGCAGUAAUGUGAGGACGGAGGGGGCGUCGCGCCCUGCAUUACCUCGCUGACGGCGGCCGAUGCUCGCACCGCAGGGAAGGGAGCUGAAGGGCGGCGGGUCUUGUUUAGGAUUGGAAUAGCUUUGUAAGGAAAAUGGUUCGAGCAAAGAGUGACAGAAGAAAAUAACCCAAGAAGGGGAUGACUGCUGUUCCUUGCUGUGACAUCUGAAGGGCGUGUGUCGCGGCUUGCAGGAGGCGCCGAGCUGCGUGUCUGCAUGAGGGCAAGGUGAAGGCACGGCCGUCCAAAUUAGUAAAAUACAUCUAAAAACAUUUGGAAACUUUGUUCGCAUGAAAAUCUUUGUUCACGAAGUUUUGGAAAGAGAAAGAAUGCGAGGAAAAACGAAAGGAAAGGAAUUGCAAGAAAAGAGCAGGA